GAUGAACGCUAGCGGCAGGCUUAAUACAUGCAAGUCGAGGGACAGCACAGGUAGCAAUACUGGGUGGUAACCGGCAAACGGGUGCGGAACACGUACACAACCUUCCUUUAAGUGGGGGAUAGCCCAGAGAAAUUUGGAUUAAUACCCCGUAAUAUAGUUGAAUGGCAUCAUUUGAUUAUUAUAGCUACGGCGCUUAAUGAUGGGUGUGCGGCUGAUUAGAUAGUUGGUGGGGUAACGGCCCACCAAGUCUACGAUCAGUAGCUGAUGUGAGAGCAUGUUCAGCCACACGGGAACUGAGACACGGGCCCGACUCCUACGGGAGGCAGCAGUAAGGAAUAUUGGUCAAUGGACGCAAGUCUGAACCAGCCAUGCCGCGUGAAGGAUUAAGGUCCUCUGGAUUGUAAACUUCUUUUAUUUGGGACGAAAAAGGGCCUUUCUAGGUCAACUGACGGUACCAGAUGAAUAAGCACCGGCUAACUCCGUGCCAGCAGCCGCCGUAA
rnacentral:rRNA from 1 species